AUUGAACGCUGGCGGCACGCCUAACACAUGCAAGUCGAACGGCAGCACGGUUUGUAGCAAUACAAAUGGGUGGCGAGUGGCGGACGGGUGAGUAAUGCGUAGGAAUCUACCCAAGAGAUGAGGAUAACGUGGGGAGACUCACGCUAAUACUGAAUACGCCCUUUGGGGUAAAGGUUGCGCAAGCAGCCGCUUGUGGAUGAGCCUACGUUUGUAUAGCUUGUUGGUGGAGGAAAGGCCUACCAAGGCGACGAUCAAUAGCUGUUCUGAGAGGAAGAUCAGCCACACUGGGACUGAGACACGGCCCAGACUCCUACGGGAGGCAGCAGUGGGGAAUCUUGGACAAUGGGGGCAACCCUGAUCCAGCGAUGCCGCGUGUGUGAAGAAGGCCUUAGGGUUGUAAAGCACUUUAAUGAGGGAGGAGUAGGGUUCGUUGAAUAGGCGGAUCUGAGGACGUUACCUCAAGAAUAAGCACCGGCUAACUCUGUGCCAGCCGCCGCAGUAA
rnacentral:rRNA from 1 species